UGACAGGUGGAUCUCUACAAGCAAUUCAGGGACUUCCACAAGACAAUUUUAGAGGCUGCUAUUCUUUACUUGCUUCUAUUCUGACCAUAAGGAUGAAUGGAAAGUUGGGUGCCAUAACAAAAUAUUACACAACAGAUAGCUUGAACAACAGAAAUUUAUUUUCCUGCAGUUCUGGAGUCUGAAAUUCUAAGAGCAAGAGCUCCUCCCUUCUUUCUGCUUCUUCACCAGGAGGAUGUAAACAGCAUUCCUCCACUGUAUCCUUCCACCAUGCCCUUCCUGCCUUGGAGCCCACUGACUAUGGACGGAAC
rnacentral:lncRNA from 1 species